rnacentral:lncRNA from 1 species
AGAAAACCUGAAACGAUAAAAUGACUAAAAGUCUUUUUGAUUAAAAUCAUCAUUUUAGAGCUGCAGAAGUCUAUGGUUAAAAUAAUGUGGGAUUGUGCACAUUGUUAGCACUCAUUCCUCACAGCUACACCUGGACUGCUCUGCAAGGAAUACACACACGCAGACAUAUUCACACACUCUACAGAGCCUUCUAAAGUAACAUGAAAAUGCUGAUUUAGCUGUGCUAAUGCUUUUCUCAUACACACACACACACACACACACACGCGUCUACUAGGUUCACACUAACCCUUGUGUGUUAAAAGUGGCCCAACUGUAUUCAAAAAAAAGGAAUACUCAGAGAAAGAAUUUUGAGCUUAGUUCUCUUAAUAUAUGUCCUCCAUUAUCUGAAAAAGGCCACAAGAACAUGUUAGAAACACCAAAAACAUGAUUUUCAUCAGAGUGGGUAUUUAACUAGAGGAUGCUCAUUGAAGAAGUUUAUUUGUUGAUCAAAUGGGUUUUUGAUUUUAAAACAUUGCUUUUUUUGUUGCUUCAUUGUGUUCAGAAUCCAGAUGACGAUGAAGCUCAUCUCAACCCCCAAGCAAGGAGUGAGUUCACAACGGAGUCUGGACAUUUCACCGGUUCCUCGCAGUGUUCACAUCUUCCUCCUGGCCUCAGUGCCCUUCACACCUCAAACUCCAUGCAGGAGAGAAUGAGCAGCUGUCACUUCUGCAUGGCAGUGCUGCUUCCUGUGUCCAGCACAGCCAAAAGUAGCUGUCGUGUCUGCUCCAGGUCAGGUGACAGCUCUGCAGCUGCCUGUGCACCUCAGAUCUGGCUCUUCCUGUAAAUGUCUAAACCAGCUGCUUAAAAUUACAUGUUAAGGUAGCAAGGUUGAUGGAUAAAUUCUUGUAAAAUAAGCUUAAACUACACAUCUACAUUACUGUAAAUCUAGUUUGGGGUGUGUAGAGGCAGAUUCUGGUUCUGGCACUGAGAGGACACUGGCACACAUCCUUUAUUAGCUUGAGUGUCGAGAGACUCAAAAAAGCACUAUACACACAGACUGUCUGUCACACACGUGACCUGCCUAUAGUUCUCAUGACAGUGUGGUGACCCAGCUACCCACCCAGCAUGCAAACAUGCCACAUAAUCCCCUCUGCUCACAGGAUACCGCCUCUUUUGCUUGUUUACUCCUCUUACAACUAAAAUAUUUCCAGAGUGCCAGCUGAUUUAUGCGACUCUGGAGUGCCUCCAUCAGCUCAACAUGUUUAUCAGCACAUUUUCUGUUUCCCUCUUUUGGAGAAGCUGCAAGAUAGGACAGAUUCAUUAAUCAGGAACUUACAACUCAUCCCUGGAAGCAAACAACAACAGCGCCAGGUGUUUUUCCCAUCAAGAACGGUUUGUUAGAUUGUCUUUUUUUGCAUCCAUUAGAAUUUCCAGGUGGAGGGUUUUCCAUUAAUGCAUUCUCCAUCAAGAGCAAAGUAAUGUUACAGCUCAUUUACUGUGCCGAGCUCCAGGUCAUACAAGCAUGUUUUGACAGCUGCUCCGCUGCAUUCAGAGUACAGCAGCUGAUGCUAGUUUGUUCUUUUUUUAUCGGAAGGCUUUGCAGCAAUGUUCAAACCCUUUGGUCCUGGAAUAAUGUGAAAUUUCAAGAAUCCAGUUAGUGUGGUCUAACACUUCAAAGUGAUUUAAACCUCUAUGACAGAGCUUUGGUCAUUUCCUGUGACUCAGUCUUUUAGAUUUUCUCUGCACUGUUUCCUCUGAACCAUUAAGCAAGAAGUAGAAAAAAAAAGAUAUUAACAGUUAAAGACAGUGAUUAUUUUUGUUUGUUAUAUAAUCAAGAAAUUCUGUUUACCAUUAAGGUAGUAAAGACGAGAUCUGGCAGAACAGAAAUAAACAUUAUUCUUUUAUUUGUUCUUUUGCUGUUUUAAAGAUUUGUACUUGAGUGAAAGUACCUUAAUAGCCCUCAUUUCUGUCUGCUUGAAAGUACAUAAUUAUGUCCAACAAUCCCUUGAGGUCUCAACAUUUACUGUAAGUGUUGCUUUUAUAACUAAAAAUAACCUGCUUGUUCUUCAUAAAAAAGUAAGACAAGCAUUCUUUCCACAAUCAGUUUAACCCCUUAAUCGAUCUUUAAUGUUUUUUAAAGCUGUGCUGUAAACAUAUUUUUGCUUUUCAGAUGUUUUUGCAAAAAACAUCUUCUGAUAGAAACCUGAACCGGUUUGUGCAAACUUUUUUUUUUUAAUUUUAAAGAUUAAGAAACAUGAAUAUUUGAUGUUUGUUUGUUUUUAUCUGCUAUUUGGCUAGAGGUGACUAUUAUUUUUUGGUCAUGUCACUGACAUAAACAGAGCUUAUGCAAUGUGGUUUUCUCUGCC